rnacentral:rRNA from 1 species
CAGUCGCCGCGGUAAAACGAAGGGUGCAAGCGUUAAUCGGAAUUACUGGGCGUAAAGCGUGCGUAGGCGGUUUGUUAAGUCUGCUGUGAAAUCCCCGGGCUCAACCUGGGAAUGGCAGUGGAUACUGGCAAGCUAGAGUGCGUCAGAGGAUGGUGGAAUUCCCGGUGUAGCGGUGAAAUGCGUAGAGAUCGGGAGGAACAUCAGUGGCGAAGGCGGCCAUCUGGGACAACACUGACGCUGAGGCACGAAAGCGUGGGGAGCAAACAGGAUUAGAUACCCGCGUAGUCCCUGUCUCUUAUAA